GACAGAGGGUGCAAACGUUGUUCGGAAUUACUGGGCGUAAAGCGCGUGUAGGCGGUUGGGUAAGUCGGAUGUGAAAGCCCCGGGCUCAACCCGGGAAGUGCAUUCGAUACUACUUGGCUAGAGUACUGGAGAGGAUGGUGGAAUUCUCGGUGUAGCGGUGAAAUGCGUAGAUAUCGAGAGGAACACCUGCGGCGAAGGCGGGUUGCUGGGCUGACACUGACGCUGAGGAGCGAAAGCGUGGGGAGCGAACAGG
rnacentral:rRNA from 1 species